GAAUCCAGAUGACAAAAAUAGAUUAAUUUUUUAUGUAGUGCACUGCGGUUAAUCCUUGUGCUCACAGUACACUUUAUUUAGAAUCACUGCAGAAUUCCUCCUCUGAUUUUUCUCCCUGAAAUUAGACUGUAAUGAUAUGCUUCAGACUUCACAGGAGCCUAAAGCAAGAACAAGAAGGCACCGAAAAUCAUUAGGCAGAGUGGGCUCUGUGGGCAGAAGAGUGGAAGGGAAUUUUAGCUGCUCCAUUGAUGGCUGGCUCUGCUGUUCUCUGAGGAUGAAAACAGUUUCAAGCAGAGCAUGCCCAUAUGAGCCAUUAGCCAUCAGAACUGAACAAACCUUCACUAAGCCUUUCUGGUAA
rnacentral:lncRNA from 1 species